rnacentral:rRNA from 1 species
AUGGACGCCAACUGCCGGACCGACCUUGCCGCCGGCGUUGACCCACCCCCCAUAGCUACCGGAGGCGAUUGGCGAACCCAGCUCCAGCCCAGAGGGCGCAGCAGGAUCGUCAAUAUUAUAAUGGAAGCUAUGAAGAAUUUUCUGCGAGUAUCUAAGCCAGAGGAGCUGAACCAACUUCGAGAAAUCGCUGCGGGAUUUGAAAACCGGGCCUAUACUGCGGCAACCAAUCUGUCUAAUUAUUUGCGGAAGAUUUCUCUGAGAAUGCUCUCUAUGGAGAUGAAGACACAACAGGCCCCUAGAAAUUCUCGAGUGGUUCCAGAUCAAACCAACUCCCGGAAGGAAUUGCCGAUCUGGACCAUUUACGGGCCCAUCGGGUGGGACCCCACCGCAGGGACGCCCCCAACCGGAGGUGUUUGGCGUGCCAAGCUUCAGCUCAAGGAUCGCAGCAGGAUCGUUGAUAUGAUUAAGCCCGAGUCCAUGGGAUCGGCAAUGUCUGAUUAUUUACCGAAGAUUUCUCUGAAAAUGCUCUCUAUGGAGAAGAAGAAGACACAACAGGUUCCUAGGAAUGCUCAUCGAAUUUCAGAUCAAAACAACUCCCGUAAGGUUUUCCCCCUAGAUAAUAGUGAGGUUUAG